rnacentral:rRNA from 1 species
CGUAAACGAUGUCGACUGGAGGUUGUGCCCUGAGGCGUGGCUUCCGGAGCUAACGCGUUAAGUCGACCGCUGGGGAGUACGGCCGCAAGGUUAAAACUCAAAUGAAUUGACGGGGGCCCGCACAAGCGGUGGAGCAUGUGGUUUAAUUCGAUGCAACGCGAAGAACCUUACCUGGCCUUGACAUCCAGAGAACUUAGCAGAGAUGCUUUGGUGCCUUCGGGAACUCUGAGACAGGUGCUGCAUGGCUGUCGUCAGCUCGUGUUGUGAAAUGUUGGGUUAAGUCCCGCAACGAGCGCAACCCUUAUCCUUUGUUGCCAGCGGUUCGGCCGGGAACUCAAAGGAGACUGCCGGUGAUAAACCGGAGGAAGGUGGGGAUGACGUCAAGUCAUCAUGGCCCUUACGGCCAGGGCUACACACGUGCUACAAUGGCGCAUACAAAGAGAAGCGACCUCGCGAGAGCAAGCGGACCUCAUAAAGUGCGUCGUAGUCCGGAUUGGAGUCUGCAACUCGACUCCAUGAAGUCGGAAUCGCUAGUAAUCGUAGAUCAGAAUGCUACGGUGAAUACGUUCCCGGGCCUUGUACACACCGCCCGUCACACCAUGGGAGUGGGUUGCAAAAGAAGUAGGUAGCUUAACCUCCGGGAGGGCGCUUACCACUUUGUGAUUCAUGACUGGGGUGAAGUCGUAACAAGGUAACCAAGGGCGAAUUCUG